rnacentral:tRNA from 1 species
CCGGUAUAGCUCAGUUAGUAUAGCAGAGGACUGAAAAUCCUCGUAUUACCGGUUCAAAUCUGCUAUGAA